AGCGAACGCUGGCGGCAGGCUUAACACAUGCAAGUCGAGCGGGCAUCCUUGUGGUGUCAGCGGCAGACGGGUGAGUAAAGCGUGGGAACGUGCCCUUCGGUUCGGAAUAACUCAGGGAAACUUGAGCUAAUACCGGAUACGUGCGAGAGCAGAAAGGUUUAUCUGCCGAAGGAUCGGCCCGCGUCUGAUUAGCUAGUUGGUGAGGUUACGGCUCACCAAGGCGACGAUCAGUAGCUGGUCUGAGAGGAUGAUCAGCCACACUGGGACUGAGACACGGCCCAGACUCCUACGGGAGGCAGCAGUGGGGAAUAGUGGACAAUGGGGGCAACCCUGAUCCAGCCAUGCCGCGUGAGUGAUGACGGCCUUAGGGUUGUAAAGCUCUUUUCUCCGGGACGAUAAUGACGGUACCGGAGGAAUAAGCCCCGGCUAACUUCGUG
rnacentral:rRNA from 1 species